UACGGAGGAUGCGAGCGUUAUCCGGAUUUAUUGGGUUUAAAGGGUGCGUAGGCGGGCUUUUAAGUCAGCGGUAAAAAUUCGGGGCCCAACCCCGUCCGGCCGUUGAAACUGGGGGUCUUGAGUGGGCGAGAAGAAGGCGGAAUGCGUGGUGUAGCGGUGAAAUGCAUAGAUAUCACGCAGAACCCCGAUUGCGAAGGCAGCCUUCCGGCGCCCUACUGACGCUGAGGCACGAAAGUGCGGGGAUCGAACAGG
rnacentral:rRNA from 1 species